rnacentral:tRNA from 1 species
CAGAUUUGGAUUUUACUUACUUACAAUAAGUAUUUUACUGUUCAAUUCAGUUGAAUCUGA